CCCCCACCUCAGACUUUUGGCUGAGGUCAAAUGUAGUAUCUGUUCUCAAAAGUUUAAUAACUAUUUUUUAUUAAACAGAUUGUUUUUAAAAAUCACAGAAACACAGUUU
rnacentral:snRNA from 1 species